GAUGAAGAACGCAGCGAAAUGCGAUAAGUAAUGUGAAUUGCAGAAUUCAGUGAAUCAUCGAAUCUUUGAACGCACAUUGCGCCCCCUGGUAUUCCGGGGGGCAUGCCUGUCCGAGCGUCAUUACAACCCUCAAGCUCAGCUUGGUGUUGGGCCCCGCCGCCCCGGCGGGCCCUAAAGUCAGUGGCGGUGCCGUCCGGCUCCGAGCGUAGUAAUUCUUCUCGCUCUGGGCGUGCUGCGGGUUCCGGCCGUUAAAAGCCUUAUUUACCCAAGGUUGACCUCGGAUCAGGUAGGAAGACCCGCUGAACUUAAGCAUAUCAAUAAGCGGAGGA
rnacentral:misc_RNA from 1 species